GCAGCUCAGUGGUAGAGCAGCUCGCUUCGCAUGUGAAAGGCCUGGGGUUCAAAUCCCCACUCCUCCA